rnacentral:rRNA from 1 species
CAAUUUAAACAACGAAGAGUUUGAUCCUGGCUCAGGAUGAACGCUAGCGACAGGCUUAACACAUGCAAGUCGAGGGGCAGCACAGGUAGCAAUACCGGGUGGCGACCGGCGCACGGGUGAGUAACGCGUAUGCAACUUACCUAUCAGAGGGGGAUAACCCGGCGAAAGUCGGACUAAUACCGCAUGAAGCAGGGGCCCCGCAUGGGGAUAUUUGCUAAAGAUUCAUCGCUGAUAGAUAGGCAUGCGUUCCAUUAGGCAGUUGGCGGGGUAACGGCCCACCAAACCGACGAUGGAUAGGGGUUCUGAGAGGAAGGUCCCCCACAUUGGUACUGAGACACGGACCAAACUCCUACGGGAGGCAGCAGUGAGGAAUAUUGGUCAAUGGCCGAGAGGCUGAACCAGCCAAGUCGCGUGAGGGAUGAAGGUUCUAUGGAUCGUAAACCUCUUUUAUAAGGGAAUAAAGUGCGGGACGUGUCCCGUUUUGUAUGUACCUUAUGAAUAAGGAUCGGCUAACUCCGUGCCAGCAGCCGCGGUAAUACGGAGGAUCCGAGCGUUAUCCGGAUUUAUUGGGUUUAAAGGGUGCGUAGGCGGCCUUUUAAGUCAGCGGUGAAAGUCUGUGGCUCAACCAUAGAAUUGCCGUUGAAACUGGGGGGCUUGAGUAUGUUUGAGGCAGGCGGAAUGCGUGGUGUAGCGGUGAAAUGCAUAGAUAUCACGCAGAACCCCGAUUGCGAAGGCAGCCUGCCAAGCCAUGACUGACGCUGAUGCACGAAAGCGUGGGGAUCAAACAGGAUUAGAUACCCUGGUAGUCCACGCAGUAAACGAUGAUCACUAGCUGUUUGCGAUACACUGUAAGCGGCACAGCGAAAGCGUUAAGUGAUCCACCUGGGGAGUACGCCGGCAACGGUGAAACUCAAAGGAAUUGACGGGGGCCCGCACAAGCGGAGGAACAUGUGGUUUAAUUCGAUGAUACGCGAGGAACCUUACCCGGGUUUGAACGCAUUCGGACCGAGGUGGAAACACCUUUUCUAGCAAUAGCCGUUUGCGAGGUGCUGCAUGGUUGUCGUCAGCUCGUGCCGUGAGGUGUCGGCUUAAGUGCCAUAACGAGCGCAACCCUU